rnacentral:rRNA from 1 species
GUAAGACUGGGAUAACUCCGGGAAACCGGAGCUAAUACCGGAUAGUUCCUUGAACCGCAUGGUUCAAGGAUGAAAGACGGUUUCGGCUGUCACUUACAGAUGGACCCGCGGCGCAUUAGCUAGUUGGUGGGGUAAUGGCUCACCAAGGCGACGAUGCGUAGCCGACCUGAGAGGGUGAUCGGCCACACUGGGACUGAGACACGGCCCAGACUCCUACGGGAGGCAGCAGUAGGGAAUCUUCCGCAAUGGACGAAAGUCUGACGGAGCAACGCCGCGUGAGUGAUGAAGGUUUUCGGAUCGUAAAGCUCUGUUGUUAGGGAAGAACAAGUGCGAGAGUAACUGCUCGCACCUUGACGGUACCUAACCAGAAAGCCACGGCUAACUACGUGCCAGCAGCCGCGGUAAUACGUAGGUGGCAAGCGUUGUCCGGAAUUAUUGGGCGUAAAGGGCUCGCAGGCGGUUUCUUAAGUCUGAUGUGAAAGCCCCCGGCUCAACCGGGGAGGGUCAUUGGAAACUGGGAAACUUGAGUGCAGAAGAGGAGAGUGGAAUUCCACGUGUAGCGGUGAAAUGCGUAGAGAUGUGGAGGAACACCAGUGGCGAAGGCGACUCUCUGGUCUGUAACUGACGCUGAGGAGCGAAAGCGUGGGGAGCGAACAGGAUUAGAUACCCUGGUAGUCCACGCCGUAAACGAUGAGUGCUAAGUGUUAGGGGGUUUCCGCCCCUUAGUGCUGCAGCUAACGCAUUAAGCACUCCGCCUGGGGAGUACGGUCGCAAGACUGAAACUCAAAGGAAUUGACGGGGGCCCGCACAAGCGGUGGAGCAUGUGGUUUAAUUCGAAGCAACGCGAAGAACCUUACCAGGUCUUGACAUCCUCUGACAACCCUAGAGAUAGGGCUUUCCCUUCGGGGACAGAGUGACAGGUGGUGCAUGGUUGUCGUCAGCUCGUGUCGUGAGAUGUUGGGUUAAGUCCCGCAACGAGCGCAACCCUUGAUCUUAGUUGCCAGCAUUUAGUUGGGCACUCUAAGGUGACUGCCGGUGACAAACCGGAGGAAGGUGGGGAUGACGUCAAAUCAUCAUGCCCCUUAUGACCUGGGCUACACACGUGCUACAAUGGACAGAACAAAGGGCUGCGAGACCGCAAGGUUUAGCCAAUCCCAUAAAUCUGUUCUCAGUUCGGAUCGCAGUCUGCAACUCGACUGCGUGAAGCUGGAAUCG